rnacentral:rRNA from 1 species
GCAAGUCGAGCGAGAAAGCACUUCGGUGUGAGUAAAGCGGCGGACGGGUGAGUAACACGUGGAUAACCUACCUUUAAGUGGGGGAUAACUCGAGGAAACUUGGGCUAAUACCGCAUACGUUCCGAGGAUUGCGAUCCGAGGAAGAAAGCUGGCCACUACAUGUAAGCUGGCGCUUUUGGAUGGGUCCGCGUCUGAUUAGCUUGUUGGUGAGGUAAUGGCUCACCAAGGCGACGAUCAGUAGCCGGCCUGAGAGGGUGAUC